GAUGAACGCUGGCGGCGUGCCUAAUACAUGCCAGUCGAGCGAACAGACGAGGAGCUUGCUCCUCUGACGUUAGCGGCGGACGGGUGAGUAACACGUGGAUAACCUACCUAUAAGACUGGGAUAACUUCGGGAAACCGGAGCUAAUACCAGAUAAUAUAUUGAACCGCAUGGUUCAAUAGUGAAAGACGGUUUUGCUGUCACUUAUAGAUGGAUCCGCGCCGCAUUAGCUAGUUGGUAAGGUAACGGCUUACCAAGGCGACGAUGCGUAGCCGACCUGAGAGGGUGAUCGGCCACACUGGAACUGAGACACGGUCCAGACUCCUACGGGAGGCAGCAGUAGGGAAUCUUCCGCAAUGGGCGAAAGCCUGACGGAGCAACGCCGCGUGAGUGAUGAAGGUCUUCGGAUCGUAAAACUCUGUUAUUAGGGAAGAACAAAUGUGUAAGUAACUAUGCACGUCUUGACGGUACCUAAUCAGAAAGCCACGGCUAACUACGUG
rnacentral:rRNA from 1 species